GUCUCAGAGAUUAAGCCAUGCAUGUGGAUCGUGUGGGUGCUAUGGUUUGGAACCUGCGAAUGGCUCAUUAUAUCAGUAAUAGUUUAUUUGGUGAAGUGUACUACUUGGAUAACCGUAGUAAUUCUAGGGCUAAUACAUGAGAAAGUCCUCUGGUGAGGUGUGUUUAUUAGAAUGAAAACCAUAUGCUUCGGCAGUAUAGUGAGUAAUAGUAACCUAUCGUAUCGCAUGCUUAAAGUAGCGAUGAGUCUUUCAAGUUUCUGCCCUAUCAGCUUUCGAUGGUAGUAUAUGGGCCUACCAUG
rnacentral:rRNA from 1 species